GAGCGCGUGUAGCAAUACACGAGCGGCAGUACGGGAGAGUAACACGUGGGAACGUACCCUUCGGUUCGGAAUAACCCAGGGAAACUUGGGCUAAUACCGGAUACGUCCGUAAGGAGAAAGAUUUAUCGCUGAAGGAUCGGCCCGCGUCUGAUUAGCUAGUUGGUGGGGUAACGGCCCACCAAGGCGACGAUCAGUAGCUGGUCUGAGAGGAUGAUCAGCCUCACUGGGACUGAGACACGGCCCAAACUCCUACGGGAGGCAGCAGUGGGGAAUAUUGGACAAUGGGCGCAAGCCUGAUCCAGCCAUGCCGCGUGAGUGAUGAAGGCCCUAGGGUUGUAAAGCUCUUUUGUGCGGGAAGAUAAUGACGGUACCGCAAGAAUAAGCCCCGGCUAACUUCGUG
rnacentral:rRNA from 1 species